CCACCGUGCCAGAAGGGGUUCAAGGUCAGAGUUACACUUCUUGUCAAUGCAGCUAGAACUAUGUUCUGAAAAACGUCAUCUUUGCAAUCAUCACCAUCUACCUGACUCAGUCAUAUCUUCCAGUUCAACCUACCCAGCUUUCCAGAAUGUGACUAGUUACCGUUAAUACUGAAAAAAAGACCAAGUCCGCCUGUAUUGGCAAGGCUGCUACAGGCCGCCCACUCACGGGCGCGAUCCCACUACUGCUCGACACGGGUGCUUUUGGCUGCUGGGUUUCCCCCCUGGCCCGGUUCACACCUCCUUAGACAACCUGGACACCCUCGACUUCCCAAGAGUGGCCAUAUUGAUGCCAAGCUUAAUGCGGACGCCCACUCAACAUGGGGAGUCCUGCACCAGUGAUCCUCACCUCAAGCCGUCCACUGGCCUAGGCUUCCGAGUCGCCGGAUUACAA